ACUGGGCAUGGUCGGACCAACUACAGGGAACAUCCCAUUCACGAGCAUUUCAGUGGGCAUCCCAACAUUCGAUCACACCCCCUGGGUGAGGGGGGGUGCACACACCUUAGACAGGCAUGCGAGGGCAACGUGAUACUGCCAUUCCCAGUGCUGCAAACCAAGUUCUCCCUGCUCACCAGACACAUAUUCCCUUAUCUCCAAC